UGGGACUACAGGCGUGAGCCACCACACCCGGCCUAUAUUUUAUGUUUUGAGAAUACUAUUCUAUUAUAAAAAACCAUUUCUGCCUCUCUUUCCUGCAAGGCUCUGUGACUGGUUACUACUAGUGUAUUCUCUAUCGCCUGACCAAGUGCUGAAAAGAUGGAAUUACAGAUAUAAAACUUCUAUAGAAGAUUUGUGUAAAGUAGUUGAAUUUUAUGGUUUUUAAUAUACCCUAUUGGAACAAAUAACUAGGUUCAAAUCUCUUUAGAGUAUAAGAAAAAUAGAAUUCCAUUGAAGUAAGCAAAUUUAUCAGGGUCCUUUGAAUCCAUUGGUCAGUAGAAUCCAUUAAACUCAGCUGAUGAAUCUGGAAUGGGAUGGGGCUCCCCGGCUGGUUCGCCGAGGAGUCUUCCUGGGCCUGUCUGCAGAGAUGCGGGGAGAAAGUGGGUUUGGUGUAGAACCCGGGGUGUAACGGGGUGAGGAGAGGGCAACUAUUUGGGAAAGCUUCCAGCUAGGAGCUGUGGCCUUCAAGAAAGAGACCUGUCCGGCUGUGGUGACCGGGAAGGUGAGGGUGUCCUCACUCUUCUCCCUCCCACUGGUCUCCAGUGGCCCCUCCUUGGCCAAAUCCAACCAGAGGCCAAAAGCCCUGAGAGCCCACGAUGCCAGUCACACAGUUGGCUCCCAGGACCAAGACAAAACCAACAGAAGCCGUAGAGUGUUCGUGCCUUUCACAGCACCUCCUACAAGCCCCUGAAGCCCGUGCCAUGCCACUCUGUUGGUGGUCCACAAACACAGGAAACGAAGCUCUAGAGGGCAGGGGUAUGUGCUCCCCUCCAUCAUCCCCCAGGGUCUGGCUUUAGCCUGGCCCAGGGAGCCCUCGCGGCUUCCUGAACAGACCUCAGUGCCCUUCCCCAGCUGUGUGCGACAAGGACCCUGCGAGAAGGUCUUCCUAGACUCCCAGCUAAGCACAGAGGUUCUCACUCUGGCCGUUUCUUACCUCUGUGGCGCACUUAUUCAGAAAGUAAAGGCUAAUAGUAGGAAUCAUCAGUACCUGCUGCUGCAAACCCAGAAACACUGUGUCUACACGGGGCUGUCAGGGUGACCGAUGGAAAUUGGGCCGUUCCUGCCCUGGAGUUUCUCCCUGCGCAGGUGCUCGCUGUGCUCUUUUUGCUGAAGAACAGCCACUUUGUUCUGCACCAGAUGGCAGAGGGUGUCAGACCCCAGCCCAGGGAGAGCAUUUAUUUUCUUAGGUUUACCAUUUAAAAUGAAUCGGAGGAAUCUGGAAAGUUACAGAAGCAGGGACGGUGACUGGAGAAUCCCUUAUCUUUUUGUGUAUAUUUUGGGUUCUGAGGAUUACCAGGAGAUGUGUGGAUGACAGAGCCCGUCGCUAGGCUCUUAUGUCACAGAUGGGCUGCUGUGCUGCGUGGUCAUUGAGACCAAUGGAAGGAAAUUGAGAUGUGACUGGGCAGGAUGGUGACAGGGCCUGAAGCCUAUGCAUGGAGGGAACGUGCAGUGACCAGAGAGAAGGGUGGUGAUGAGGAUGAGGGCCAUGAGGCAUGGUGACUGUGACCAGCUGAUGGAAGGUUUGCAAAGAAGGGCGUCCCAACUUGUCCUGGAUGGCCCAGGUUCUUAAAACUUCGACUUGAAGCGAAAGGACUUAUAAUGAAGCCAGUUUUUUUCCUUAUCAGCAUCAUAAUGAAACAACGUGGGAGGAAACAAAGUUAUUUGAGGACCUGCUGUACACAGUUUUGCUUAAAGUCACACAUUUCCAAGAACCUGUCAAUGGCAUUGAGGACUUUCUGUACAAAAAUCACUACGCGUGACAGCUCAAAUAAUAAACAGUUGUUCAGAGACAGUGGUACUGCGUCCCCCUCCUCCAGUCCAGUCCCCCACCCUGAGCGUUGAUGGUGGGGUGUGCAUCCCCCACCCCCCAAGCCUGUUCCUAGAAGGCCAUGGCGCACCUGCUCUGUGCAGAGGCUGGGCGAACACCAGCCCGAGCCUGACUUAAGCAGGAUGGGCAUGGACAUCGUUGGCACUCACUUCCCUGCAGGGAGGUGCACAGUGAAGAAUAAAACACAGGUGAUUUCAGAUAGUGGCACAUGCCUGAGGCAAUCAGCCCCGAUGGUGUGGCGGGGCAGGUACUAGAGAUUGUGUUUGCAGUGAGGGCCACUAAGGGGGGCGGAGAAGACCCCUGACAGCAAGAAGGAGCCCCACUUGUGCUGUUCUGUAAGGAGGGUCUUCCAGGCACAGAGAGUGGCUGAUGAGAAAGGGCCUGUGUGGAAGGAACCAGGGCCAAGCGAGGGAGGCAGAUGCCGCGUGGCGUGAGGAGGGUGAGAGUCCAUGCCAUAAAGGACUGUCAUCCAUCUGUCAUUGGCUGAAUUGUGACCUCCAGAAAGAGAUGAGUUGUCCUAACCCCCACUACCUCAGAAUGUGGCCUCAUAUGGAACUAGGGUCAUGGCAGAUGUCAUUAGCUAUACAGGAGGGGAGGGGAUGGACCCUCAGAGGCGAGACGGACGUACAGGAAACACCACAUGGAGACUCUGGCGGUGGCUGGGGCAGCGCGGCUGUGGGGCAGAGAAUGCUGAGAUAAACGCCACCAUCAGAAACCAAGAGAAAGGAAAGGGACAGGUCCUCCGGGGAGCCUUCAUGGGGAGCCCUGGCAUGGCCUUCAGGCCUCCGAGGAACCCAGAGGAGGAAACGCAUUUUUGUGGUUUCACGCCACCCAGCGUGCGGUGCAUUGUGGCAGGUGCAGGCCGCUAGUGCCCCCCACCCAGUCUCUGUGUCCUCUGCACAGUAGGGAGCUGGGGAAGGUGUGUGGCUACUAACGUGAGCCUGUUAACGUUGAAAAUUUCCCUCUGGCGGCUGGGCAGAGUGGGCUGCAGGGGCUGAAGUAGGCAGUGGUGACAGUGGCUUCCCCAGGCAUCAGCGCCACAGGAGGAGAGACACAGACUGUGGCUUGCAAGCAGAGCUGGCAGGACUUGCUGAAAGAGUUAAUAUGGGAAGUGAGAGGACACAGAGGCCAGGGCCGGGAGACCAGGAGGCCGAGAGCGGUAGAACGUCACAUCCUGGAGGGGCGGGGAUUUCCCCUUUUGUUUUGUUUCUGUAUAAGAUCAUACCAUGUAUAUUCUGGAAUUUUACUUUUCUAAUUUAACACCCCGUGGGUCUCCAGUUCUUCCACAAGCUGUUUGAAAGGCCACAGGGCACUGCGUGGAAUGCGUGGUCUCUAAUAGGUUAUGCCAGCCCCUCUCGUUGGGCAUUGAAAUUGCCUCAGCAGUUUUUUUAACAAUUACCAGUAAUACUUCCCUGAACAUCAUUGCACAUACAUUCUGAAGCGCUCACGCUUUGUUCCUGUGGACAUCUCUGCCUGAUUGGAAGCUUGCGUUGCACAUUCAGCCCACGCCUCCAUGGCUGGUCCUGGACUGGGUGAGGACACCAUGAGAAACAGCUAGACUUGGGAUGUCUGUGUUGACAGGGCCAUGGGUGAGAACAGAGAGUUUCUCAAGCGACAUGCCAGGAAGAGCUGGCUUCCCCGCACAAGCAGUGCUACCAAGGGUCCAUUUGUUACUGAGUCAUUCAUUCAGCAGACUCGUUGAGAACAUGUGUGGUAGGCACGUGCUGGGCACUGAAAAUAAACAGACAAACACAACAUGACCCACGCACCCAGCCUGAGCCCAGGAGGCUCCUGGUCCCGUCCUGGAACAGCCGGUGACUCAAAGCUCAAAUAUCAUCCCCACCUGGACAGUCUGCAAAUGACUUUCCUUCUUCCCUCAUCCCCUUUCCCAUCCUCACUCUCUUCCAAGUAUCUGAUUGCACGCAUGUGCACAUGUGUGAGUAGGGGAGAGGCUGUGUGUUUUCAUAAGCGAAUCCUGAUUUUCUGACAAAAGAGACAUGAAACAAAUAUGUUAACAAGUAAUGUUGCUCCCUCUCAUGAGGGGGUCACUGGCUGCCCUUAUAGAAGGCCUUGGAAAGAAUUACUUCAUGCAUUCCUGUUCAUUGGCGGUCUUUGGCCUUUGAGAGUGGAACUCUGCAUCUUCUUGUCCCUCCUGGAUGAAUACAGGACACUUAAACAUUUAAAGGGGGGACACAGAGAUGGGCAGGACUGUGAGAGUCCCCCUGAAAAGCGAGAUUUCAUAGAAGUAUUGAAUUUUACCAAAAGUUUCAGAAGUCCAAUUCAUUAUUAGAUUUCUAUAAAUAUAAAUAUUUAUAUGAUAUUUCUUGCGUUGAAUUCAGUAUGUGCUCAAGUUAAGUGUGAUUUGAAAAAUGACCAAGUCUCCUAAGGUGAAGUUUGUGUGUGAACAGGAGGGCCGGGGUCGCUGGGUUCCAGGCGCAGCCAUGAGACACCUGCUCUGCACCCAGCUCUUCUUUUGUUUUGCUCACCGAGAAAAAGAAGACUCGGGAACCACAGAACUAACACAGAAGUAAGUUAGAAAAUUACUCACGUAUUCGCCCACUGUGUGCCAACAGAGUCUUGAUCUAUUGCCCAGGCUGGAGUGCAGUGGCACGGUCUCAGCUCUUACUGCAGCCUCUGCCUCCCAGGUUCAAGCAGUUCUUGUGCCUCAACCCCCCAAGUAGCUGGGACUACAGGCACAUGCCGCCACGCCCAGCUAAUUUUUGUAUUUUUAGUAGAGACGGGGUUUUGCCAUGUUGCCCAGGCUGGUCUCGAACUCCUGGCCUCAGGUGAUCUGCCUGCCUCAGCCUCCCAGAGUGCCAGGAUUACAAGAGUGAGCCACCACGCCCAGCCCAGGAUGCUUUCUUUUCAUGGGUCUUUGUCCUUUGGAGGGCCUUGACCUCACGCAGCAGGGGAGGAUGCUGGCCCACACCAAGGCACCAAGAUUUUACCCACCUCUGUGUGUGGUCGCACGUCCUCCUCAUGGCCACGCUGGGAUGGAGGUGGACUCUGAGCACAGACAAGGGACCCAUGGCCCAGAGCCCAGAGUCACCCGCAGCCCCCCUGCGCUGCUGCUGCCCGCAUGGGGUACCCUUAAGUCCCACAUCCAAGCUCCCUCCACCCCACACUCUCCCUUGGAUUUGCGCCUGUUCUUUCUCUGGCUGUGCACCUGGCAGUGCUGAGAGGAGAGCCUGGUGGGCACUUCCACCCUGAUCAAAUUCAGUCAUUAACCCCACUGAAACCUGACAAGGCCUGUGUGCAGCUCACUGUGGAGGGGUCACUGCUGUCCUACCACUUUUUUUUUUUUCUGGAAGUUUGCAUGUCCUACACUAUCUAUAAAUAUGUAACUUUUUUUCCAAAGAACUUAAAAUGAAAGAAUAUGAGAAAACCCCUAAAUAAUACAUACAUGGUAUAGAUUGAUGCAUAAAACAGUCAGCCCCUGGACUCCAUGGCUCUGUGGAAUGGGCGGUUUAGUAUUCCUUUUUCUGGCAACUCACUUAGGGCUUUUACAGGUGCAAUGAGCUUUGGUGAAAAUAGCCAAUGGGCACCUCGUAUCUUGUGCCCCAAAUAUUCCUAUUUAGCACAGUGUAUUCUGGAUGCCUGAGUGACUGCAAACCCUCCUCCUGUGUAACUUUGUUACUGUUUUUCCUGUCUCAGGAAAGAUGCUCAUUUUGUCUCCUGACUGUGGCAGUUGGGGGUCUUGAGACCAUUCCUGAGUUUAGACCUUCCCAGGGGAGAUCAGUGACCACAGAUGUGCCUCGGUGAAUUUCACAAACCCAGCUUAGCGUGACCCAAGUUUCCAGCUUUACCGAACUUUGUCAUUGUUAUUAAAAAGAUGAUUUUAGUGUGCUGAUUAGAAACUGGGAUCCACAUUCAACAUAAGCACAAACUUUUUUUCCCAGUGGGCCAAAGCUCAUUUCUGAUCAUUAAAAGCUAAUCCUGAAAAUUAGCUGGAGCAUGGUUCAAGCAUACGUUGUAAUCUGUUAAAAGCAAAAAUAAUAAUUUCAAGCAGUGUUCUGCGUCUGUGUGGAAACAGCUGGUCUACCCCAAAGAGCAUCAGGAGGCUAUACCCUCCUCCCACAAUUCCAAAUAAAAUAUAUGGAGACAGCACAGCAUCCGGAAGAACUGGCAUUGGUAAAUUAUUGCCUCCAAAGAAUAUUAGUUAGCAAACAUACUUUGAAAGCCAUCUUCACAAUCAUAAAUUCAAUAGUACUUCUUUCAGUCACAACUGAAUGCCAGUUGGGGCAGCCUUUCGAGUUGUUAAGCAGUUUAGUAGCAAAUGUGACAUAUAGUGUGUGUGCCACAGUAAGAUUUCAAAUUGUCAUUAAUUUGUAAAAUUUAGGAGAAGAAAUGAUAUAUUGUGACGAGAUAAUAGUUUUCUCUGUAUGUACUCCAAGCUAUCAAAUACUUCUAGCCUUUAACUUGGCAGUGUUACUCUUGGCAUUUUAUUCUAUGGAAACAACUGAAAUGAAUGGAAGAAAAAAUAAUAUUCCUGUUCAAGAUGCUUAUUAGAGUGUAUUUGAUAGACUUUGUUUUCUAGGAAAGCUUUAGACUUUUAGAAAAAUUGAGGAGAUAUUAUAGGUUAUUCCCAUAGGCUUCCCACCACUUCCCCCUGACAAGUUUCCCAUGUUUUUUGUGUGUGUGUGUGUUUUGGUUUUUGUUUGUUUGUUUUUGUGACAGGGUCUCACUCUGUCACCCAGGCUGGAGUGCAAUGGUGCAAUCUUGGCUCUUGCAACCUCCGCCUCCCAGACUCAAGCGAUUCUUGCCCCUCAGCCUCCCAAAUAGCUGGGACUACAGGAGUGUGCCACCGGCUAAUUUUUUUUAUUUUUGGUAGAAACGUUGUUUCACCAUGUUGCCCAGGCUGGUCUCAAACUCCUGACCUCAAAUGAUCCACCCACCUCAGCCUCCCAAAGUGCUGGGAUUACAGGUGUGAGCCACCAUGCCCACCCUCUCCCCUGUUAAUUUACCUCUUUCAUUAGUAUGGUACAUUUCUUAGAGUUCAUGAGUCAAUAUUGAUAUGUUUUUAUUAAAGUCCACACUUUAUUUGCAUCUCUUUAGCUUUAACCUCAUGCCGUGUCUCUGUUCCAGGAUCCAAAUCCUAUUCCAUUGUCAUGCCUCCUUAGCCUUCUCUUGGCUGGGACAUUUUCUCAGACUUUUCCUGUCUUUGAUGACCUUGAAGGUCUUGAGGCAUGCUGGGCCAGGUGUAUGAUAGGAAUCCCUCUACUGGAAUUUGUGCAAUGCUUUUCUCAGGUUUCAUCUUGAGUUACAAGUUUUGUGGAGAAGGACCACAGGGUGAAGUGCUAUUUCCAUCCUAUCCUGUCAAGGGUAUAUACCAUCAACUUUAUUUAUGGCUGCUGAUGUUGACCUUGAUCCUUUGACUUGAGGUAGUGUCUGUCAAGUUAUUCUGCUGUAAAGUCAUUGUGCCCCUCCACAGCCCAUACUGAACUUUUGGAAGGAAGUCACUGUGCACUUAAGGAGUUGGGCGUUAGACCCCCUGUCCUUGAGGGUGGGGUGUCUAUGUAAAUUUUUUAGAAUUCUUUUGCAGGGGAGAUCUGUUUCUCUCCCCCAUUUAUGACUAUAUUCAGUUGUCUAUUUGUAUUCAUGUGGACUUGUGAAUAUUUAUUUUGUAUUCUAGGCUGCUAUCCAAUACUGCUGUGGCCCAGAUUAUUCCACCCGUGGCUCCUGGGGGCUCCUCUGGCUGCUCCCACACCCUUUGCCCUACACCCCAUCUCUGUGGGGUUUCUUUUGUUUGAGCACUUUCCUUCCUUUCUGUCAGUACAAGGUGCAUUUUGUAUCUUUCCUGCCACAAUCUUAGAAUCGGCUGUUUCCCAAAGAGCUCUGGUUCCUUUUACUGGAGAAUGGUAUUAGAAACCAGUGUCUUGGAGCUAGGCGUGCUCGUUGCUUCUGGGGUGCCAUUUCUUGGUUCUCUUGGCCAACAGAGUAAAGAACGAAAUGUGUGUAUACUAACCUGCAUAUGCAUAUAUAUCUACAAAUAUUUCUAUAUGUAACCAUCUGUAUCUAUAUUUAACAGAUUUCAUAUUCUUACUGGCAUAAAAUUGGAAAUAACUAAGUGUUUUAACAUGAGGAAUGGCUACAACUAUGUUAAUACUACCUCCAUGAUGCAACUGUUAUAAGGGACAGGUUGGAAAACUGUGGAAACAUAAUACUUUACAUUAAAAAGUAGUAUUUUUUAUUGUAGAGUCUCCAACAAAGGUCUCUGUUGGAGUUACGCUUACAAUGUGAUAGUUGUGUGUGUGUACGGAUAUGAACUUUAAAGGAAAAAUGGAAAAGGUAGAUAAGCCAUGGCUUAUUCAUAUUAAACUAACAUAAAAUUAACUUUGCUUCUGCCAUAAUGUUAGUCUUCCAGUGAGUUCUUGCUGAAACCUGAAUGAAGUUGAUGUAUUUAAUUUUAAAUGAAAGAAAUGAGACACUUUUUAUUCCGUUGUUGUGUUAGCCCUGCAGUGCUUUUUCAGGCCCUCCCAGAUUAAUAAUGACCUUGUUUACUCAUUGACAGUAACCAAAGAGCCUGCUAAAAAAGUUGUGAAGUUAAGGUCAAAGCAGUUUUAUGGGAGGAAAUCUGUGAGUGUUUAAAGGAAGGAUUUCCAUAAUAGCAAGAAGAGCCCAAAGUUGGGAAUUCUUCUUUUGCUUUUCCACUCUGAUCUUUGUAUUAAUGCUUGAUUGACUGAAUAAAUGCCAUGUAUCUUA